GGAUCCAGACUUUGAUUCUGGCUCAGGAUGAACGCUAGCUACAGGCUUAACACAUGCAAGUCGAGGGGCAGCGGGAUUGAAGCUUGCUUCAAUUGCCGGCGACCGGCGCACGGGUGAGUAACGCGUAUCCAACCUUCCGUACACUCAGGGAUAGCCUUUCGAAAGAAAGAUUAAUACCUGAUGGUAUGAUGAGAUUGCAUGAUAGCAUCAUUAAAGAUUUAUCGGUGUACGAUGGGGAUGCGUUCCAUUAGGUAGUAGGCGGGGUAACGGCCCACCUAGCCGACGAUGGAUAGGGGUUCUGAGAGGAAGGUCCCCCACAUUGGAACUGAGACACGGUCCAAACUCCUACGGGAGGCAGCAGUGAGGAAUAUUGGUCAAUGGACGAGAGUCUGAACCAGCCAAGUAGCGUGAAGGAUGAAGGUCCUACGGAUUGUAAACUUCUUUUAUAAGGGAAUAAACCCUUCCACGUGUGGGAGCUUGUAUGUACCUUAUGAAUAAGCAUCGGCUAACUCCGUGCCAGCAGCCGCGGUAAUACGGAGGAUGCGAGCGUUAUCCGGAUUUAUUGGGUUUAAAGGGAGCGCAGACGGGUCGUUAAGUCAGCUGUGAAAGUUUGGGGCUCAACCUUAAAAUUGCAGUUGAUACUGGCGUCCUUGAGUGCGGUUGAGGUGUGCGGAAUUCGUGGUGUAGCGGUGAAAUGCUUAGAUAUCACGAAGAACUCCGAUUGCGAAGGCAGCACACUAAGCCGUAACUGACGUUCAUGCUCGAAAGUGUGGGUAUCAAACAGGAUUAGAUACCCUGGUAGUCCACACGGUAAACGAUGGAUACUCGCUGUUGGCGAUAUACUGUCAGCGGCUUAGCGAAAGCGUUAAGUAUCCCACCUGGGGAGUACGCCGGCAACGGUGCAACUCAAAGGAAUUGACGG
rnacentral:rRNA from 1 species